rnacentral:rRNA from 1 species
CACGUAGGCACCAAGCGUUGUCCGGAUUUAUUGGGCGUAAAGAGCUCGUAGGCGGUUCGGUAAGUCGGGUGUGAAAACUCUGGGCUCAACCCAGAGCCGCCACCCGAUACUGCUGUGACUCGAGUGCGGUAAGGGAGCGGGGAAUUCCUGGUGUAGCGGUGAAAUGCGCAGAUAUCAGGAGGAACACCAGUGGCGAAGGCGCCGCUCUGGGCCGUGACUGACGCUGAGACGCGAAAGCGUGGGGAGCGAACAGG